ACGAACGCUGGCGGCACGCUUAACACAUGCAAGUCGAACGAGAGAAGAGAAGCUUGCUUUUCUGAUCUAGUGGCGGACGGGUGAGUAACACGUGAGCAAUCUGCCUUUCAGAGGGGGAUACCGAUUGGAAACGAUCGUUAAUACCGCAUAAUAUAAUUGAACCGCAUGAUUUGAUUAUCAAAGAUUUAUCGCUGAAAGAUGAGCUCGCGUCUGAUUAGCUAGUUGGUAAGGUAACGGCUUACCAAGGCGACGAUCAGUAGCCGGACUGAGAGGUUGAUCGGCCACAUUGGGACUGAGACACGGCCCAGACUCCUACGGGAGGCAGCAGUGGGGAAUAUUGCACAAUGGAGGAAACUCUGAUGCAGCGAUGCCGCGUGAGGGAAGAAGGUUUUAGGAUUGUAAACCUCUGUCUUCAGGGACGAAAAAAGACGGUACCUGAGGAGGAAGCUCCGGCUAACUACGUGCCAGCAGCCGCGGUAAUACGUAGGGAGCGAGCGUUGUCCGGAAUUACUGGGUGUAAAGGGAGCGUAGGCGGGAUCGCAAGUCAGAUGUGAAAACUAUGGGCUUAACCCAUAAACUGCAUUUGAAACUGUGGUUCUUGAGUGAAGUAGAGGUAAGCGGAAUUCCUAGUGUAGCGGUGAAAUGCGUAGAUAUUAGGAGGAACAUCGGUGGCGAAGGCGGCUUACUGGGCUUUAACUGACGCUGAGGCUCGAAAGCGUGGGGAGCAAACAGGAUUAGAUACCCUGGUAGUCCACGCCGUAAACGAUGAUUACUAGGUGUGGGGGGACUGACCCCUUCCGUGCCGCAGCAAACGCAAUAAGUAAUCCACCUGGGGAGUACGACCGCAAGGUUGAAACUCAAAGGAAUUGACGGGGGCCCGCACAAGCAGUGGAGUAUGUGGAUUAAUUCGAAGCAACGCGAAGAACCUUACCAGGUCUUGACAUCGUAUGCAUAGCUCAGAGAUGAGUGAAAUCUCUUCGGAGACAUAUAGACAGGUGGUGCAUGGUUGUCGUCAGCUCGUGUCGUGAGAUGUUGGGUUAAGUCCCGCAACGAGCGCAACCCUUACUGUUAGUUGCUACGCAAGAGCACUCUAGCAGGACUGCCGUUGACAAAACGGAGGAAGGUGGGGAUGACGUCAAAUCAUCAUGCCCCUUAUGACCUGGGCCUCACACGUACUACAAUGGCUGUCAACAGAGGGAUGCAAAGCCGCGAGGUGGAGCGAACCCCUAAAAGCAGUCUUAGUUCGGAUUGUAGGCUGCAACCCGCCUACAUGAAGUCGGAAUUGCUAGUAAUCGCAGAUCAGCAUGCUGCGGUGAAUACGUUCCCGGGCCUUGUACACACCGCCCGUCACGCCAUGGGAGUCGGUAACACCCGAAGCAAGUAGUCUAACCGCAAGGAGGACGCAGUCGA
rnacentral:rRNA from 1 species